AGGGAAAAGUUAUGGAAAAGAAGUGGACAUCUUUCCAUUAGGAUUAAUCUUGUUUGAAAUGCUUUACAUAUUUGAAACAGGCUGUGAAAGAGCCAAGGAGUGGGAUAACAUUAAAAAUUGCAUAUUUCCACAAACAUUUAUUAAGGAGUGUCCAACAGAGGCAGCUCUAAUUAGAAAAAUGCUUUCAGAAGCACCUUGUAAGAGACCAUCAGCAACUAUGAUCUUGACAUUUUUAAGUCAAGGCGACCAGAAUGGCCUACACACUUGUUAGCUAAUUUCUCAGUACAUAAGCACAGUAUUUGGGUCUAAAGGUUUCUUUCCUAUAUUUAAAGCCUGGAAAUGUCAUCCUAACACACAUGUGGCAUGCAAGUAAUACAAACUGCUUGGGCCUCUUAAGUCUGAAGGGUUUUGCCUCUUCCAGAAUGCCCUGAUCUGUUGGGGAUGCCUUUUGUAGGCUGUGUCCAUAUGCAAAAUCAGAUAAUCAGGGUUAUGCAGGAAGUAUUCUCAGUGGUGUCUUCCAGGUUAUGGAACCC